rnacentral:rRNA from 1 species
AUUGAACGCUGGCGGAAUGCUUUACACAUGCAAGUCGAACGGCAGCACGGACUUCGGUCUGGUGGCGAGUGGCGAACGGGUGAGUAAUGUAUCGGAACGUGCCCAGUCGUGGGGGAUAACGUAGUGAAAAUUACGCUAAUACCGCAUACGAUCUAUGGAUGAAAGCGGGGGAUCGCAAGACCUCGCGCGAUUGGAGCGGCCGAUAUCAGAUUAGGUAGUUGGUGGGGUAAAGGCCCACCAAGCCAACGAACUGUAGCUGGUCUGAGAGGACGACCAGCCACACUGACACUGAGACACGGUCCAGACUCCUACGGGAGGCAGCAGUGGGGAAUUUUGGACAAUGGGCGAAAGCCUGAUCCAGCCAUACCGCGUGCAGGAAGAAGGCCCUCGGGUUGUAAACUGCUUUUGUACAGAACGAAAAGGUUUCUACUAAUACUAGGAGCUCAUGACGGUACUGUAAGAAUAAGCACCGGCUAACUACGUGCCAGCCGCCGCAGUAA